rnacentral:tRNA from 1 species
GCCUGGGUGGCUCAGUCGGUUGAGCAGAUGACUUCGGCUCAGGUCAUGAUCUCGCAGUUCGUGAGUUCGAGUCCCGCAUCAGGCU